rnacentral:misc_RNA from 1 species
GAUGAAGAACGCAUCGAAAUGCGAUACGUAAUGUGAAUUGCAAAUUCAGUGAAUCAUCGAGUCUUUGAACGCACAUUGCGCCCCCUGGUAUUCCGGGGGGCAUGCCUGUCCGAGCGUCAUUGCUGCCCUCAAGCACGGCUUGUGUGUUGGGCCCCGUCCUCCGAUCCCGGGGGACGGGCCCGAAAGGCAGCGGCGGCACCGCGUCCGGUCCUCGAGCGUAUGGGGCUUUGUCACCCGCUCUGUAGGCCCGGCCGGCGCUUGCCGAUCAACCCAAAUUUUUAUCCAGGUUGACCUCGGAUCAGGUAGGGAUACCCGCUGAACUUAAGCAUAUCAAUAAGCGGAGGA